CGGCAGCGGGAAGAUAGCUUGCUAUCUUCGCCGGCGAGCGGCGGACGGGUGAGUAAUACCUGGGGAUCUGCCCAAUCGAGGGGGAUAACAGUUGGAAACGACUGCUAAUACCGCAUACGCCCUACGGGGGAAAGGAGGGGACCUUCGGGCCUUCCGCGAUUGGAUGAACCCAGGCGGGAUUAGCUAGUAGGUGAGGUAAUGGCUCACCUAGGCGACGAUCCCUAGCUGUUCUGAGAGGAUGGACAGCCACACUGGAACUGAGACACGGUCCAGACUCCUACGGGAGGCAGCAGUGGGGAAUAUUGGACAAUGGGGGAAACCCUGAUCCAGCCAUGCCGCGUGUGUGAAGAAGGCCUUCGGGUUGUAAAGCACUUUCAGUGGGGAGGAAAGGUUGAUGGUUAAUACCUAUCAGCUGUGACGUUACCCACAGAAGAAGCACCGGCUAACUCCGUGCCAGCAGCCGCGGUAAUACGGAGGGUGCAAGCGUUAAUCGGAAUUACUGGGCGUAAAGCGUGCGCAGGCGG
rnacentral:rRNA from 1 species